rnacentral:lncRNA from 1 species
GUAUGUGUAAGAUACAAAGUUACUAUAUAAGAGUAAAGGAUUCCAAAUAUUAUUCAUCAGUCAAUUCUACAACAAUGCAGUUCAACUUGAAAGUCAUCUUUGCUCUUUUAUCCAUCUUUGCUCUUGCCAUGCCCAUGGCCUUAGGAGCAUUUAAAAAGAGAAGUGUUCGCUCCGUAAAAGGACGUGCCAAAGGCGGCCGAUAAAAUUCUACUGGAGUUCAAAAUGACUAUGGAUAUUAUUACUUUAUAUUCCUUUGUCUAAUUUCUUGAAUUCUAAAGAUACAAACCAUAAAAUACAGCUAUUUUUAAGA